rnacentral:sRNA from 1 species
AGGAAUCGCGUUCCACGGGGCUCUCCUCCUCCCAAGCCUCGUGAGCGUGCAACGCCGGCGGGACCUCCUCCUCCCAAUCCCGCCAGCUCCAACGACGCCCGCCAGUACCUCCUCCCACUGGCGGGCGUUCGU